rnacentral:misc_RNA from 1 species
UCUUCCAUGUGUGUCGAUCC